GUAAAGGGGUCUCCAUCAACUUCAAGUGGAGGAUAGUACAUUUAAUCGUGGACUACUUUUCUUUUUUCAACAUUCAAAACAGUGAGAAUGAGCAGAAAUGUGUGCUGAGGUUUCCCUGUCUUCACUGGAUUCCCUCUUGCAGUACAGACAGUUAUGUAACUGCAUAAAGUCAGGUCUUAGAACUAAAUUCUUCUCAGAUGGAUUCCCUCAGAACAAAGUCCUUCUGCUUGAGGACACAAGGUUAGAUGUGGAGCAGUUUGGGAGCCAACAGACUUCAAGUUUGAUCCUUCAGGUUAAACUGAGUGCUGUAACGUUUUAACUGUUGCGGUACCAGCGGCUCAGGAGAGCCAGGGCGCCUCAGUGACGUCAAGCCUCCUGUGCGCGCUCACGACAGUCUUCCUCGCCACGCUUGAAUUUUAAAAGCGCGGUCACGAGCUUCUGGUUGGGGAAUGUAGGGAGACAGGGAGAGAAAUCAGACCGACGUGUUGACAGAAAAUACAGGGUGUAAUUAAUAUAAUGGGAUGACUGAAAGUUGUGAUCAAACUGUGGAAUAUUUCAAAAUUAAAUUCACCAAGCAGGCAA